CCUACGGGAGGCAGCAGUGAGGAAUAUUGGUCAAUGGACGAGAGUCUGAACCAGCCAAGUAGCGUGAAGGAUGACUGCCCUAUGGGUUGUAAACUUCUUUUAUAUGGGAAUAAAACGUUCCACGUGUGGGAUUUUGUAUGUACCAUAUGAAUAAGGAUCGGCUAACUACGUGCCAGCAGCCGCGGUAAUACGGAGGAUCCGAGCGUUAUCCGGAUUUAUUGGGUUUAAAGGGAGCGUAGGUGGAUUGUUAAGUCAGUUGUGAAAGUUUGCGGCUCAACCGUAAAAUUGCAGUUGAAACUGGCAGUCUUGAGUACAGUAGAGGUGGGCGGAAUUCGUGGUGUAGCGGUGAAAUGCUUAGAUAUCACGAAGAACUCCGAUUGCGAAGGCAGUUCACUGGACUGCAACUGACACUGAGGCUCGAAAGUGUGGGUAUCAAACAGGAUUAGAUACCCUUGUAGUC
rnacentral:rRNA from 1 species